CGCUUAUCAUACGGGCUGACGCUCCAAGCCGUGUACACCUUUCGGAUAAACGCAGAUGGACGUGAUAAAAGACUCGGAAUGUACACUAAUUGGAUUAGAACACGGUGGCUUGCGUACAUAGUCAAGCGGCGAAAUUUGGACGUACAAGUUCGAAAACCGUGGCGGUGCUAAACUCCGAAACUCUACUUCGAUCGGCAACGCCUUCGUAACGCACGGUGACAAAGGACAGACAGACGUUUUCCUGAUUCAGGGAAAUCCUUCAUUUGAUGUUUCACAGGCAAUAUCAGUCUCAAAGGUAAUCG
rnacentral:misc_RNA from 1 species